CUAGGCGAGUUUGUUAGGCAUGCGAGCGGCGAGAAAAUGCCGAAAAGAUGCGUUGUUGCCGGUUGUAACAACAUAGGAGAUAAGGAAAGAGAAAUAUCGUUGCAUGCAAUUUCUUAUUCGGGGGACGAACGGCCCGAAGCGAAAAAAAACGAAAGAAAUGGACUGACUUCGUACUAAGCCUCAAACGUGCAAAAUGGACGCCGACGUCGUAUUCAGUCAUAUGCUAUGAGCAUUUCAAGCCCGAGGAUUUUUUGCGACGGUUUGCCCAUGUCGAAGGUGAAAGCUUCGUUGGCAACAGAUGGCUCAAAAGGGACGAGAUCCGAAUUUGUGUAUUCCCAACAAUCAUGCCAUCAGCUGACGCACAGAAAGUUUCAGACAGAUACAAGAGAAUGGUAUGCUAAUUUUGUAUUUUAUACAUAAUUGUGCGUAACUUGAAUUUGUUUGACUAAACUGAUUUAAUUAAUAAA